rnacentral:rRNA from 1 species
UACGUAGGUGGCAAGCGUUGUCCGGAUUUACUGGGCGUAAAGAGCGCGCAGGCGGUCGUUCAAGUCGCGUGUGAAAGCCCCCGGCUCAACUGGGGAGGGUCACGCGAUACUGAUCGACUCGAAGGCAGGAGAGGGUAGUGGAAUUCCCGGUGUAGCGGUGAAAUGCGUAGAUAUCGGGAGGAAUACCAGUGGCGAAGGCGGCUUACUGGCUCAUUCCUGACGCUGAGGAGCGAAAGCGUGGGGAGCAAACGGGGAUUAAGAU